GGGCGGCACCGCCGAGGUACGGGGCUCUCCCGGCCCGGCAAGGGGAGCUGAGGAGAGGAGAGGCAAGGAUGGACGGGAUUUCUGCAGUGCUGAAGGUUCGCGUGUUUGGUUAGCCAGGGAUCCUGAAGUUCCUCCAAAAACGGGCAGAGGCACUCAGGCUGUGCGGAGUCACCGUGUUCCUAGUACAGAAUUAUCAGAAGGACAGAAAAGCUGUGCUCCUGCUGUAGAAACUUGGUUUUCCUGCUUCUGAACCAAAGUUAAAGGGGUGGGAAUCCUGAGGAGCUUUUUUGCACGGUGAGGUUCUGAAAGUGUUCUUCAGGGCAAACACAGUUCUGCACAAUGGUACAAAAGCUUCCACGGGAGUCUCCUGUUAUUUCAGACCUUCUACUGUGGCAUUUGGAAAACCUGAAGACAGUCUGGUUCCAUGGAUGGAAAAAUGGGGAAAAUGUGAGAAAGGGGAACUUAGAUAAUUUGGAAUAAAUAACCCAAAUCUGGGAUAGUAGAAGGAAAAUCAAAUAAACAAAGAAAAACACACCAAAAAACCCCAAACCAACUAAACAAAUUUUCUAAAAAAAUACAACGAACUGAUCAAGGAAAGGAACAGAAAAAACAAACCCUGAACUUCCUCCGAAAUCAAGUUGUUGAGGUGCUUGAACAAGAUUAGAGAGCUGCAUAAAAGCAGGUAUUUUAUAGAAGCGAUCUAUCAAAGAAUGAACAGGAAUGAAGAAGAAAAUGCUUUAAACUUGAAGGAGAAACAAUUUUUUCAGAAACCUGAGGAUGUUUCUUCACCUAUGCAGAACUAGUGAGCGUCUUCAGUCAGAACACUGUGGGCAAAUAUGCAUGGAGCAUUCUUCAGUGCAGUGAAAAUGGAGUGUAGAGAGUAUUAAAGUGUUUAACACAAUCAUUUCCAGGGAUUUAUACAGCAUUUAGUCUUUUAUGAAAUGACAGACUGAUAAAACUACUUCUGACAAGAGUGCUUCAUGUACAUUGGUAACUCUCGGGGAUGUAAUUGCAAGGGUGUAAUCCUGCUUAUUCUUGGGGAAAAAAAAAAUCUGUUUUACUUGGAGGGAAUAGGAUUACAUUUCCACAGAGCCAAGAGUAGCUGGUGUGUGCUAAAUGAACCUGCAACACAGCAUAACGGUGAAAGAAAACAGUUCAUAGAACAUCAAAGAACACUGAAGUCAUUGUUCAAGUUUUAUUUGUUCCUACAUCAGUUUUCAGUAGAAAAACUUUCACUUCUCUCUGCUCUGAAUGCACCGUCAGCUUUCUGCAAGUCUUGUGAGUAAAUAAAGUUCGUUUGCCUCGGAACUCCUUUGGAAGGAAGUUUUCAUCCUGGCUUAAGGCCGGAUGUUAUCAGGUGAGGAGCAGCCUCCAGUUCUUUACAGUCUCUGCAGAAAAACCUGCCAGGAGUACCCAGCUGACCCUGAUGCUGCUUUCCAGAGCAGAACUUACUCCCUGAGCAGUGAGGCCCCAAUGUCCUGUCUGCGUCUGCUCUUUCUGGGGUCAGCCCACAGGAAAGGACAGUGGCUGGAGGGCUGUGCUGUGUCCCAACACAAGUCCUGCUCCCAGUGUCCUGGAACAUGGUUGGUCAGGUUGAGAUUCAGGUGGUGUUGAAUAUGACCCAAUUUAAAUACAUAAUUUUUACUGUUUCACGGUAGAAGCCUGGAGAUUCAAUAGUGUUUUCCUCUACACUCUAAAACAGUGUCCCAGUUUGGUAUCAUUGUGUACUGUAAAUUGAUGUAUAUUCCUCAGAAAUGGCUGCAGAUACUCAACACUUGAUGAGAAGGCUGGUGUUAAAUUCAAGCAGCGAGUGAAAACUGCAUGCUCUGAGGACCUGGCCUGCUUAUGCUUGAAAUGGCAUUUCCAGUCAGAUUUGAGAGGGUCAAGUGCCUGUGGUGCUGGGCUCUGCUGGCUCCUUUCUCCUUGGCUGAGGAGAGCCAGGCUGCCCAAAGCAGCUGCUCCUGGCAGUCCUUGUGCUCCUGACAGAUACAGCAAGGAGGAUGUGGCUCUAAGGGCUGCCAGCUGGUUGGAAAAGGACUGCCAUUGGCUUCAGUAGUGUUACUGAAGUGCUUCAAGGUAUGAAAAUGCUGAAAUGGAAAUAUCCUCACCAAACUGGAGUGGGAAAUACUGAUAAGAGAGAGAGGGAAAGAGGAAGUCAGAACAUCAGGGACAGGAUCUCACUGAGGAACCAGAAACGACUCAGAAAUGAAGCCACUGAUUUAAAAAGCAUAUAAAUCUAUGCAAAAACUCCCUAACAUGUAUUACCACAUGGACUCUGGAAAAUACAACGUAUGAUUUCAGUCAGGACUGGAGAAAUACAUGCACGUGUAUUACAAAGAAACAAGGAAUUCUCUCUUGGAAGAGGUUGUGACAAUAUCUGUGUGUUUGUAAGAGAGCUCUAAAGGCUCUUACUGCAGGCAGCCAGUCCAUUUCUGUGAUUACCCCAGUGCUGUUAAACAAGCCCAGAGCAGCAGCCAGGAAUGGAGUUGAUUCACUGUUUCUGAGCUUGGACUCCAGGGAUAAUUCUGGUUUACACUUUCCCAAGCCAAUAGAAAGCAGUGGAGCACAACCUUCUUUAAGUGUUUUUCUGCCAUUCUAUUUUCAUUAACUUCAGAAGAAAGAUGGGAUUGCCCUGGCUCACAAAUAUUUGCUUGUUAGGAAAAACAGUUCAGGUGUCCAGGUUUGUGGCAGGUGUAAAUUGAGUGAUUCCAUCUGGUCUUAAAAAUGCCUCAACCUCAGUAUCAAAUCCCAUGUUAGAAGAUUGAGAAAAAUGCAGAACAGCCUAAUUUGGCAUCCAUCACUUGAGGAACCUGUCUCCCUUUUCACUAAGAUGGAUGAACAGAGGAGCCAUGGCAGAUCUGUCAUACCCACAUGACUUUCUCUGGAGAGCUGUUAAACUCCUGGAAAUCAUCCUGGAGCCUCUCAUUGCUCAAAAAGGAGAAUGUCUGUGAGAUGAGGGAGACUUCAGGUGCUUCUCCCAGGGUUUAGUUCUCCUCUAGAAUUUGCAAUUUUCUGAACUGAAUUAACUUCAUAGUUAUUGAAUCUGCUUCAUUCAGAAUCAGUCCUGUUAAGGACCAUGGUACCACUUCUUAAUUUCAGUUAAUAAAAAUUGGCUGACUCCCACAUCCCAGCUCUGUCCCAUCCCUCCCGUUGGGAUAAUCCUGCCCUGCCUACCACUGGCAGCAGCACUGAACGCAGUUGGAAGUGCUGUUUUUAUUUCCUUAUUUAGGAGUUGAGUGUCCUGUGUCCUUCUGUGCACGUGUCCAGAACAGAGCCAUAUUGCACUCCAUAAAUCCAAUUGUUCAUGUUUUCAGGGUGUGAUUGUAUGAAAUCACUGCCUUCUAUGGGUUAUAGUUAAAAUCAUGACCAAAUUAUAUUGAUAAAAUUAGAAAUUUUCCCAGACAAUGAAGAAGCUUUAGUUCUGAGUUCUAAUUUUCCUCUACAAAAGUGAAAGCAGGGUCUUGCAGUGUGCAGAGGAACACCAGUGCUCCACAGCCAGGGCAGAGGGUGCAGCUGCUUCCCUCAGCAGUGAGAGAGGAAAAUGGGACACUCAGUCAUUUUUACCUCAUGCUUUGUUUUCACCUGGCUUUGCUAAUUAACCUUUAACCUUUGCUUGAUAAUUGUUCUCCAGAAUACAAAUGAAUGCCACACUGAUGAGAACAUGGCCAAGCAGGAGAAGAAAAGGAUUUGGUUUUUAGCAUAAAAUAUAUUUUAAUGGGAAUUUUUCAGGCCUCAUGGGGUUGCAGGAAGAAGCAGUCAGGAGCCAUCCAGAUGCACAAAGUCUCCUUACUGGGUGUUGAGGUGGGUAAAACAGAGCUUGUUCCUGUUCCAUGGGCAGGGUGUCCCACCCCCUCCCUGCAAGGGCAGUGCCAGUGCAGGAGUGGCAGUGCAGGGGAUGUGGCAGGGCUGUCCCAGCAGGUGCCAGGCAGAGCUCUGGCACUGAGCAGCAGCAGGGACUGAGAGCUCCAGAUUCUCCUGAGGCUGCUGGAGCCCUGCUGGGCUCUUCUGAGCUGCUCCCAGAGUGCAGAGAGCUCAGGCACUGCCUUCCCACUGCCUGCAGGGGCUGGCCAUGGCUACUGACCAGAAAACAACUGGGGAGAGAAGCCACCAGAAAUGUUACAGCUUUUUGGGGAGUAAGGAUGUUCAAAUUGGUCAGUUACUGCUAAAUGCCAUUGUGCAGUCUGCCAAGGCUGGUUCUGCACAGUCAGCACCUAGGUUUUGUUAACACUGAGAAAGAUUAGAAACUCUGAAAUGGAAAUAUUAAAAAAAAGAGCAAAAGCAAUGUUAAAUAAACCCACACAUCAAAACAUUCCAGCUGUCAAAUUUGACAGUUCCACAAGGAAUCUUGGAUCUUGGCUUAUUGUCUUGGGUUUGUAGUUUUUUAAUUGGAAUUUGAAUUCUAAUAAGAUGAAGAUAUGUUUUCCUAAUAUUUGUUAGCAGAAAUUAGUUUUCAGGCCAUUAGCAUGUUUAUAGAAGUAAUACUGAGAGCGACCCUUAGUUAAAAAUUCACAGUAAAUUAACUUUUCCCUUAAUAUACAUGAUAUUUAGAACCACUUUAAUUAUCCAUACUAGAAGACAACAUUAGUCUGACAGAAAUUCUCACAGGAAAAAUAUCAUCUAUUUAUAUCAAUUAAUUUACUGUGUCAAUUUGACUUUAAAGGGACACUUAAGCCUAGAAUUCGGUUUACCCAAAGUUUGAGCAUUGAAGUCACACCAGGGGAAUGGAAGAAUAUUAAACAAGAGUGGAAUAUCUUUUCCUUGUAUAGGCAGAUUUUGAGAAUUUAUAAAUGUUCCCAAUAUCCUCAUGGUUAGAUACAUAAAGCUUUAUUUUAAUUAGGUAGGCAUAUGUUAGGAUACAUUAGGAAACAAAAUACAACUAAUGUAUAUUUUCAAUAGGCAGUUCUGCGAGCAUAGGGAUAAUAAUUUGAAAAAAUAAUUUAUUUCAACUCCAAAUGGUAGAUCACGAUGUCAGAGAAAUGAAUACAAGUGCCGAUGUUUCCAAGAAUUAAGCAGGAUUUCAGCUUUAGCUCUCCAUCUCUUUCCUCACUAAAUAAAAUGAAAAUGUAAUGCCUCAAAGAAAGUAGUUUCAUAUUUGUAAUCUUUGAUACCAGCAUGAUUAAGAAAGGCAUUAAGAAAGGUUGAUUUGUACACAGUACUGAAAAAUCAGUUCUGCCUGGGAGAAUGAUAAACAGUGGAAGCUGCUAUUUAAAUAGAAAUAAUUGCUGGUACAUCUAUAUCUGUGUUUUAGCACUAUUUUUCAUUUGGGUUUUUAUCUCAUUGCACACCUUAAAAAUUCCAGAUGAAAUAAGCAUUAGGAAAAUUUUAGAAGAGUAACCAUUGAGAGCAGUCAUAGCUGGACCUAACUGGGGGAUGUUUUUUGUAUUGAAAAAAGAGCCAUUCCAUAUCCAGCCCUUUGCCUGCUGGCCUAGAUUCUUGCUGAGAUGGAGUUGUGGUGGGAGGAAAACCAUUCCAUGUUCCUUGGGAGUGCCCUGGAACAGGACCAUGAGCUGGGGCAGUUACCGGGUCAGACUUGUGUGUCUGGGCUGCUUGAAGACCUGGCCAAGUGUUUAAUCUUGGGAUGGAGCCUGUUAUGGAUUGUGAUUCCUUGUGUACCAGCACAGGGAUGAAGUGCUACGUGAGUCUGUGCUGAGGCCCAGGCACAUCAACUUGUUUGGUGGGAAGGAAUAAAAGUGGAGCUGCAGGAAUCCGAGGUGACAAAAACCAGCAUUUGGGAGGCAUUUACAUGUGUCAGCCUAGCUGGGUGCAGGUGAUUUCCUUACUUUACAGGAAGAUUUCACCUCUGCACGUGUAGCAAAAGAGGACAAGGAAUUAUUUUCCCAGAUAAUAUUUGGUUUUGGAGGCAUUCAAAGUUUCUCCAUUUGUCUAAGGAUGAAAUGAAGCUUUUCUGAAGUUUAUCACCUGGUAAUUUGGGCACCGAGUUUCCCUGGAGUUUGGUUCCUGGACCCUGACUGUUGCCCUGUCCUGAGCAGGGAUGUAGGAGUAACUAGAGGAGAAGAGGGGAGCAAGAACUGGAUCAGCAUCUAGGAGGAAAAUGCAAAAAGUCACAUUUCAACUGAAGCAAAACUUUAUGGAAAAGAAUAAUUUGCGAAGGUGUUUUAAACAUGCUUUGGAUGAAAAUGAAGUAAAUGAACAAAUGAAGUAAAAAAAAGUUAGAAAAUAUUUGCUGCAUGGUUAAAAGCACUCAUUCUUUAAACCAGAUAAGCUGAGUUCUUGCUUAACAAACUCACAUAGGAUGGCAGUGCCCCUGCACUCUUGUCUUUAAGGCCAGCUUGUUUAAGCAAUAGGAAACUUGGGCUCAAUUCCUCCAAGAGCCUGAGGGCAUUUGAGUCCUGCCCAGGAACUUGCUGAAAUCAUGAGGUAGAAUCUCAUUUAAAAAUUUGUAUUUUUCUAUGAAACAUUACUUACCAGCCUUUCUCUCAUUGUGGAACACAGUGCAGGGACUCUGUAAUUUUUUUCUGGUUCACAGAGUUUGCCAUCUUCUUUUUGCAGGAGAAAUCAGCAUAUUUUAAUAUGAAACAAAACUCUUGAGUUAAUCAUUUCCCUGUGUCUGAGGCUCGUUAAGAAGCAUCAGGCUCUCCAAUGCAUUAAUGGAAUGUGAGCAGAGUCGCCUGCAGUGAUGCUGCUGAAUUUAGUGCCCCAAGAUAACAUUGGGAUAACGAGAGCACUCCUUGACAAAUGGCUUCUGAAACAAAAUCACUGCCCUUAUGGAACCUAAUUUAAUUAAACAUCUAGAUGAAGGCGGUAGUCAGUAGGAAGAAUUUGGUGUUUAGCCCCACUCUUAUGAAUAUUAAUAUUUAAUAAAAUGAUUAUAUGGUUCAUGAAUACUUGAAAUGAGAUUCAGAGCUUCAGCCCUGAAAGUUACCAGCAGUUAUUUCUGUAGCUUAGUUCUUGUCAACAAAGACUCUUGCUUUUCUGAAUUUAAUUUAUACAAAAGCUCAACAACAGAAUUGUGCUGGAACUCUGGUUCAAGGGAGAAAAGCGUUAAUGAGUGUGGGCCAUGCCUGCCCUGAGCUGCACUUGGAGAACUCCACUGUGUGUCUGCAUGUGUGAUUUGAGAAUUCACAUUUACAGCACCUGACAUUUGAAAUGGUGUAAUUAUGCUAAGAUACAUAAAUAGAAGUACAGCUUUUAGGUUCCUGUGUGAACAGAAUCCAAUUUCACUAGCAAAAUCAUGUAAAAAGCCUUUUUCUUUAAAAGACCAGAAUGAACCAACCUUUAUCUUUUCAUGCAUGCUGCAUUAACAGGAGCAAACCUUUGAAUCAUUAAAUCUGUCUCCCACAUUUCAGCCCUUCAGGGGCUCCCUUCUGACACACUGAAUUCCUAAAUCUGAGACAGAUUCAGCUGCCAUGGGGGGCUGGACACUGAAGCUGGGCCCAGCCUCUGCCCACACAAUUUGCCAUUUCUGUGUGAGAUUUACACCUUGGCAUCUAGCAAGAAUGACAGGAAAUACCAAAGCCAACAAUGUGGUGCUUGUGCACUCUUAAUUUUUGAAAAAAAAUUAAUUCUGUUCAAUGACCUUCAUAAUACCAGAAAGGGAUGGGGCACUCAUGUGACCCUCAUAAAGGGCAGCAUCCCUCAAGCAAGAUUUCAUUAGCUUUUUGAGACUUAAUUCAGUGUUUCCUGGAAAUGUGGAAGAGAUCAAGUAUUCAUGGACCAGCAUUUUCCUCCUUUCACUUGUAAUGUACUUUGUAAAAAAUUUAAUUUGGUUAUUUUGCUUGAAAGUGCCCUCAAAAGACAUGAAGAUAUCUAAAGCUGGAUCUGAAAUGGUUCUCUUAAGGAAAAUGAAAAGAUAGCUGGGAGAGUUUGCACUCAAAUCUAGAUGUUCACUGCAUUUUUAUGUUCUCUGUGCCAUUCUCAUAGAGCAGCUUUUACUUCAAAAUUGCACCUUUUCCUUCAAGAAGGAUCCACUUUGUUGUGCUUGAUUGUACAAGAGUUCUACAGAUGAGUGUGAUUCUGCUGGAUCUCCAUCUGUUUCCGUGUGCUGUUGUGUUUCAGGGUGUUGUGCUGAGUAUUUUUAUUUUCUGUAAUCAUUUAGCUAAGUCACACUUUGGAUGAGUUUCUGUUCUUUAGACUUCAUUGCUGAAGUGUGGGUGAAAGAAGGGAACUCACAUGCUAAUUGUAUCCCAGCAAAUUGAUACCAAAGGCUUUGCAAUCACUCCCUCAGUACCCCUGGAGUGGGAAUCAAGGCAGGAAAUUGUCACUGGGGUAGUGUGACUGUCACAGCACCGAACAACUGUUCCUGAGCCUCUGGAGAUCAUUACUUCAAGCUCAAUGAAGUGCAUGUCCUCCUCACUGCUGCAGCGGUAUCUUAGAUGAUUUUGUGCUUUGUUAUGGAUUUACUUCCACCCCUCAGAAAUGCUGUAUAAUAUUGUGGCUACAUGUAGAAUAAUAGGAUCUUUUUAGAGUAAAAUGUAUGUUGAUCUGCUUCAUUUAAACAACUGAUGAUUGGAGGAGGCAAUGCCAUUUUUGCAGUGCCCCGUUUGGGUGUGAGAAUUCUCUGAGACGUGGCAGGUUGGUAAUUGGUGCCAGCAGCUGAGCUCUAACAUUUCUAGAAGGGGAUGUAAGUUUAAAUGUUGUGCAUUCUAGAAACACACUUCUGCUCUUGUUAGCAUGACUGAGCUAGAUGCAGCAUGUGAAGGAAAGAUGGAGAAAGGGAGAGUCUGAGCUUGGUUUUCUGACAUAAUGUAGGAGUGAAAAUCAGUCCUGCCUCUGUUUUCAAAAUGGUGUGUGCUGUCACAUUGUCAUGUCAGAGAAUGUUUGUACCCAAGUGUGGUUUCCAUUGCUCAGUUCCCUGUUCCAGGCACCGUGCAGAUUCCCCCAAGCCUGGUGAGGGUGGGUUGCAGUGGGUGAUUUUUAAAUGCUGCUACCCCUGCAGGGACUGGGACAUUUCUCUCCUGCCGGGCACUGCCCAAGUCAGGCUGGAUCUUCCCCCUGGACAGGCUGGAAGACAGAACCCUUGUGCUGUGGCUGCAGCAGGCACAUGGCUUUGUGCUGCUGAUUAAUGCAAAAAAUGGGCGGGCAGACCUGGAACAAUACUGCAGCUAAAUUCUGUGUUUGUGGAGAUUAUGGUUUUUAUGUCCAGACACUGAGGCGUUCAUGUGACAUGGAUAUUUUCCAAAAGCUGAGAAAUAAUGAAAAAUUAUUUUACUGAUCUGUUACAGCAGUGCAGCAGCUGCUGAUCUGCAAUUCUGUGAGAGAUGAACAGAACUGGUCCAGUCACCUGCAGAACACAGAUAAAAAUCAGUAAGAAAGUGGGAAGUUAAAUAAUGAAUGAACAGCCAAAGGUGUCUGAGCCUUAGCUGAGGUUCCUGCAGUGAUGCCAGGAUGUGUAUCCCCAGCUGUGCAUCCUCAAUGGAAAAAUCUGGGAUGAAAAUGCUCUGUGCACGUGUUUUCCAAGGAUUCUGUCUGUUUUCUCACAAGAAUCAGAAGUCUGGGAACAGUGAAGUCUUUCUACAACUUUUUGUCUUGUUGGUGCCUUGGCAGCCUGAGAUACACAGAGAGUUCCAUGGAUUUUCCCAAGAGAUUGCCAUUUCUCAGACAGGUGCUGUUCCUGCUCCAAGGGCUGAUCCUUGCCUCCUCACCCGUGCGACCGCCCCAGGGCCGGCAGGAUCUGGCAGUGCCCGAGCUCUGCCUGGCCCUGCUGGUGCAGCUGCUUUGUCUGGAGCUGCCUGUGCAGGGCGCUGUUCCUGUGCAGAAGUCAAGCAAAGAAGGAAUCUGGAGGGCCCUGGCUCUGCCAGCACAGAGGAGCCCUGGCCUGGAGGAUUGGGUGGCUCAAGGGGCCCAGCAGAGCUCUCCAGCUGAUCCCAGCGCUGCUGAAGCCGUCGCUGCCUCAGCUGGGUGGAGCUGUGACUCCAGCUUUUUCUGUCAUGUCCCGAGUUAUUCAACUUGAGCACUCUCAAAAUUGACAUAUCUGGAUUUCUUGCCAAAAUGCUGCUGGGGCCAGGAGUUUGCAGCUUGUGUUUGCACUGUGGAAGCAGGAAGGACUUCCCAGGCAGGGUCUGACUCCGUGCUGGAACUACACCAAGGUGGGGAAGUCAGAUUCCCUGAAACUGGGAUGCACAAUUGUUUCAGAAAGAGCCUUGUCUAAAGCUAAGGUUUAGAACAUCAGAUGACUCUUAGCAGAUGUGAAAUGCUUCUGGAAGCCAACCAGUAGUUCUGUUCACACCCUCUGGACCACCCUGUUUGUCCAUCAUGGCUGUGCCACCCUGCACUGCAGUGGUCUUCUCACCCAGGAGAGCCUGACCGUGGCCAAGGGGAUCAAGAAGCUCUGAAGAGCCUGAUCCAGGGGACACAGGGAGCCCUCAGGCCUCUGUCACCUUCCAGCCCAGCUGCCUCAGACAGGAGAAGAAAUGGUCCCCAGGACCUGUCCCUGCUCUCCGUGGGUCCUUCUGCACCAGCAAACUCCAGAGGGCACCUGAGUCCAGAGAUCUGGAGUGCAAUCAGUCUUUGUAAGAGUGACUGAAAGAAGGCAGAGAACAAACACUGCCAGUUCCCCUCAUUGUCAUGAACACUGAAGUACUUUGCUGAAGCAAAAUGUUAAGAAGCUGGGACUGGACAUUUAAACACUCAAAAGUUACUGAGUUUUCUGCCCAAGUUGAUGGAAAUCUCUCUCCACUUCCUGAGAGACACCAAGAGGUGCUCCUGUUCUGCUGCUGCUGAAGCCAGUGAAAAAGGUUCCCUUCCUCAGGGGUCAGUGCAAUACCAGGAUUAGAAUGAAUAUACAGAGAUGGAAGUGCAGAGUGACAGAGCUGAGAUUCAAAUGGGACUCCGAGGAGUGUGGGAGCUGUUUGUGAAAAGCUGUGCUGUUUGAAAUGGCCCUUGAUAUUCUAUUUAAUAUCUCCCACCUGAUCCAUUGCUGAAGCCCUCCACAGUUCAUGUGCACAGCACAGUUCCCAGAUGAAUUGGGAUGAGCUUGCUGAGCCAGCUGGCAGAGGGAAGAGAGGACUCGUGUCUGGUAGAGCACGGAGUCACUUUGGCCUAAGGUCUUUCACUGCUGGAAGGAAGGAUGCACAGAAUUCAGGGGCAGGAGGUGCCUGUGUGGAUGGGAUUGUUCUCCCAAAGAGAUUUGGCUGUUCCUGCAGGCUACAGGUGAAGGAGGCAUUGCCCUUCUCCAAUUCCUAACAGCAUCUGGAAGAGUGAAGGUAGGACACUCCGUGCUUUCUCCCCUGGAUACAGAAUAUGUAGCCUGGAGCCCGAGGGCACAGAGAGCGCUUAGAUCCUGGUCUCAGGGUGUUCUGCAGGCAAGAAAGGCCCUUCCACUGCUCCAUGAAAUCUGCUGAACUUGCUGGAUUGCCAUCAUUCACAUUGAUCUCCGAGUGGGAGCAGCUCCUGUGCAGCUCAAAGGCAGCAAGAGCUGCACCCAAGCUGGCAGCACGUGAAACACAGGCAAUGUCCUGAAUCACCUCCAUCCCCACCAGUGGCCUGAAAUGCUGGAGGAAAUGAGUAUCAGUUGUAGCAGAGUCCUUUGUUUUUCCACAGUUGCUGACGCUUUCUAAUCUCCCUCAGAAGGGUGAGGCUGGCGAGUGGCAUUCCACAUGGAGCUGGCUGCUUGUGGCUCACCUUGGAGCUCCCAGCUCUCCACAGAUCCAUCACUUCUCCUGUGGUGACACUCCUGAUCCGGGCAGCACUCGGAGACUGACGGCUGCAGCCCAGGAUGGUCCCUUCCUACCUCGGGAAAACAUUCCACAGGAGUGCAGCACGUUCCCAGCUGGGUGGUGUGGCUCCACCUGGAUUCCCGCUGGAGGAUCCGUGACUCUCACACCGCUCACGUGGAGACCUGCCAAAGGUAAGCCUUGCACCUGCCAAUAACUUGUGAAGAACGAUUCUUCAUUUCUGAGAUCCCUGCCAGGAACAGGAGAUUUACCAAGAGUUUCUAGGUUCCUCAGACAAUCAGAAAAUGCCCUGAGCCCCUUCUGCAAUCGAUGUCUUCCCGAGGAUGAUGUGUCACCACCUGAAGACUGAUCUCGGGAGGGACAAAUCAAUUCUGCAGUGAGUCCUGGCGCUCCUCCUAACAAUCAGCAUGCCUGGUUCCCAGGGCUCUUCCUUUUCACUAAGGCCUAAACACACCAAGUCAUCCCUGCAUGCUCCCUGCAGCACUUCCCUGUCUCAAGACAGACAAAGGGAUCUUCAAAACUUUCUGAAUUGAUUCAGCAUGAGGUAACGAUAGACAUUUUAUCCCAAAGCAUCACGCUAAAGGCAGUGUCUGAUUGCCCAUUUCUGAGGGACUCCAGAGCAGGGCUCAGUGCCUUGUUGCAUCCAUUUAACUCGAGGUGCCUGGAUGGACUCCAGGGCCACAGGGUGGCAUCACUGAUCAUGUGCUGUACAGGGGCUGCGUCUAAACGACCUGAUCAUCUCGGGCCCAGAAAAUCUCUUACUCUGCACCAUCCCGGGACCUUUUCCUGUGCCACUCAUCUGUCUGCACUCAGAAGUGGCUAGCACGUGGCUGAUUUUAUGGAGGGCGUGCUGCAUGUCCUGGGAUCAGCCUUAAUGUGCUGUGAUUCCUUCUGAAGUGGUUAAAGCCCUGCUAGAGACCCAGUCCAGGCUUCACUGGCCCUGGGAGGGGCCUCUCUCUUAGAGGCCCUUGCCCGGCUGCUCUGUCUGCAGCUGCUCAGCAAGCACGAGGCAGCGAUUACAGACAGGGCUGCCUGGCACCCAGCCUGUGCAGGGGAGGUGGGGAGAGAGAUUUCAGAGACACCAUUCACCAUCCACAGAGCACAGUAAAACACCUUCUUUAUUCCUCAUUUUAUUGGCGCUGUCUGCUCUCAUCUGGUGCCUGAGCAUUUUAUCUGUUCACACUGCUUUUUUCUAUGCAAUAAAAACAUAGACAGGCUUUUGCACUUUAUUUAAAAUAUUUUGCCACAUUUAGAGGUAAAUCACAGCCACUUUGUGUGCUGUAUAUACUCAUGGGAGAUGGAAAUGCUUUGAUAGCAAGCGUGCUCUACAGGGUCCAGCCACGGCUGGACAGGAAAAGUCUCUUCCUCCCACCUUACUUUUCUUUGCUCUGGUAUAAACCUGUCCCUCUCUCCCCAUCGCUGGGAGUCAGGCAGCCACAUUCCUUCGUGCACAGUGAAGGGAAAGAAGGAGAGGAAGAUCUGGCUCCCAGUCCCUGCACAGACAGAGUUUGAGGAAUUCAGUGAGCAGAGAUCUUCACUUUGAUCAGAUCUGUCUUGUCAGAAACAAGCUGACACUCUGGGCACCACAACAGAUCACAGCAACUACAACAAAAAGCAGCGCUCUGCCAGAGCUGCAGGCAGGAGUCUGCCAGGGAGAAUGACGGAGCAAGAAGGGCGGUGCUCUAACAGACAAAAGGGAAAGGAAGGAAGAGUGAAAAGUGUAAGAAACUGGAAGAGACUUGAAGGGACACAGCACUGUUUAAUGGGGCAGAAACUGAGAGACGAGUGAGCUGCAGCACAGGGUGAUUUGCAUUCUUCCAAGAUGAUUUGUAAAAGGGGAAAAGUUGUAAAUGAAACGCUUUGAUUCCCCUUUAUCUCACUCUGCCUGCACACCGGAGUCAUUGAUUUCAUGCAGUAACCUCUACUGAACAGUCUGGGGCUGCAGCAUAAUUGUGUUGACCUGAAAUUAAGGCAAAAAGCUGCAGCUCUGGGAUUUGGAGCUCAUACUAUCUAAUUGGCUGAAGGGCAAAAUAAAGAAGUAAAGAUGAA